UACGAAGGGGGCAAGCGUUAAUCGGAAUUACGGGGCGUAAAGCGUGCGUAGACGGCCUUUUAAGUCUGCUGUGAAAGCCCUGGGCUCAACCUGGGAACUGCAGUGGAUACUGAGAGGCUGGAGUGCGGUAGAGGAUGGUGGAAUUCCCGGUGUAGCGGUGAAAUGCGUAGAGAUCGGGAGGAACAUCAGUGGCGAAGGCGGCCAUCUGGACCAGCACUGACGUUGAGGCACGAAAGCGUGGGGAGCAAACAGG
rnacentral:rRNA from 1 species